CUCACUGGGACCGGUUGGACAGUGGAUGCAGCCCAUGGAGGAAACAGAGAUUCAAAAGGGUCAGGUCACUGGCUCCAGGUCAACUCUACUACUAAACAGAAAAGCAAGGACCAAAAUUCAGAUCUUUGUGACCCUCAAUGCCACUAUGCCAUGCGAUGAUGCCUGCCUCUUUUAGAGGCCAACUAAUAGGCCAACUUGAUUUUCUUGAGGAAUGGCCGAAUGGAAGUUGAAUGGUUGAAGGUGACUGGCAAACAGAGAAACAAGGCACCAAGAACUGGCUAUUUCCAAACGUGGGCAAUCAGCUUCUGAAUGAAUAGUUCAGAAUGAUGCAGCUCUGGAUGUUGGAAAGGACAAUUCCGGCGUUUUACUCUUCUGACCAGUUUCUUCGUUUUCAUAACUCUACUUGAAGAACAUAUGAUGUUUGCCAGUGUCUGACAUUACGGACCUCACAGCUUACUGAAUCUGAAAACAGGAGAUAGAGAUGGAAAGGAAAGCCUCAGGAACUUGUUGCAAUAGGGACUGCCAGGUCCCGUUGCACUAUUGGUGGAAGAGAGGUCCACACGGUGCCUACGAUAAGCGAUUUGUUCGUAUCUAUCCAGACUGCAGGUGCAUACAGCCACUCAUCCUCAAAUGCCAUCCUCAGGAGUUUAUGCUGCACACAGACUGGCACAUGUGCAGGAAGACAUAGUGCAGGGCUACGUGCUACAACAUUGUUGGUGACAGCAACAUAUUGGAAGCAACCUGAAUUUUUGUUAAUAGAGGAUUGGCUACAUAAAUGAUGCUAAUCUAUACAACUGGAGUACUAUGAUGCCAUAAAAAAGAAUGUACAAGGUCUUUACGUUUGGAAAGAUCUCUAAGAUAUAAUGAUUUUCUUUGCCUCUCAAGGGAGCUGGGAGAAACUCAAGUCUGAAACUCAAACUCAUCUCAGUCAUUCCUUUCCCUUCAACUAGACCUGAACCUCAGGAGAUCUGGAGUAUGUGCUGAAUUCUACUGGGAACUGAGCCCUCUGAAUAUUAUUAUUGUUUUGCUAAUACUUUUUGCUGGAAAGUACAUCAAACCAGGAUGUGUUGUACCUCUUGCUUUGCCAGACUAUUUAAAAGCAAAAGUGACCAGAUAUCCAACUUAAGGCUGAUCCAGGUUUUUCAUGAUCUAGCCAGGGGAGACAAACCUUCCAGGAAAGUCUCUAGCGAAGGCCAAGGAUUUUAGAAAGUAUCUGUGAACAAAGAAAUGCAAUGUUAGUGGGCUAAUUUCCAUAAUCAAAUGAAGCUGAUGCAAGUGCUUUGUGAAUUGAUGCCCAUCAACGAGAGACUGGAUAAAGAAAAUGUGGCACAUAUACGCCAUGGAAUACUAUGUAGCCGUAAAAAUGAACAAG
rnacentral:lncRNA from 1 species